UUGAGAUUGCUCGCAUGUGUGGGCCGGGGUAGGUGAGACGGAACAUGUCAUCGAUGCCCAAAUGAGCAUAUAUUCACCUUCAACUUCAAGAAGUGAAUUAAGCAUCCAUUGGCUAAAGUUUGUUUGUAACGAAGGCCGGUGCUGCAUGCUUUGGUUACUGGUGCCUGAUUUGCUUGC